UACGGAGGAUGCAAGCGUUAUCCGGAAUGAUUGGGCGUAAAGGGUCCGCAGGUGGCAAUGUGUGUCUGCUGUCAAAGAAUGAGGCUUAACCUCAUCAAGGCAGUGGAAACUAUAUAGCUAGAGUACGGUCGGGGUAGAAGGAAUUCCUGGUGUAGCGGUGAAAUGCGUAGAGAUCAGGAAGAACACCGGUGGCGAAAGCGUUCUGCUAGACCUGUACUGACACUGAGGGACGAAAGCUAGGGGAGCGAAUGGG
rnacentral:rRNA from 1 species